GUCUGUGUGGAAAUUGUUUUUGUUAGCCAUCAUCCAUACUGUGUUUUUUUUUAUCAUCAUGGUUGAUACCAACUUUAAGACGCCUCAAGAAAUGUUUUCUUUUGUUGUUAGUUUGGUGUUAAAAAAAAGUAAAACUCCGAGGUAAAUUCUGAACGGAAUGUCCUUAAGCAAAUGGCAAAUCGAAUCACAAACACUUUAAACGAAUGGAUAACAACUGUCAUAUGCCUGACUUGGCAUGUUCUUAUGAAGAAAAUGGUGGAUUGAAUCUGGUUUUAUAUCUAGCCUUACCUCUCACUUGUAUGACAGUCGCAUCAAAUUCAAAAAGCUCAAACACAUCAAACGAAUAGAUAACAACUGUCAUAUUCCUGACUUGGUACAUGCAUCUUAUUAUGAAGAAAAGAACGGAAACAUAUUUGAAAUAACUUUAUUUGUUAUAAAAUACUGAAGAAGACAUGCAUAUUAUAUGUAUACCGAUAAUUUUGUAUUGAGUUUUUAUCCACAAAGAAAUGAAAUAAAAUGUAAAUAUUUGUACACACGACACGUGGUACUUGAAUAAACUUCAUUAGGUAUGACCGAGACCAAGGUAGGCCAAACAUAUAGAUAUCGCUAGUACAGUAAACACAGUGAGACUAAAAUAAAAGAUCAGCCGAUAGCUUAAAAACAGUUCCGCCUUAAAGAAAUGUAUCAUUUAAAUCGCACCAGUUCCAGCGCCUUAAAAGACAGAAUUUUAAUGUGCGUAUUGUUAUGCGUUUACUUUUCUACAUUGGCUAGAGGUAUAGGGGGAGGGUUGAGAUCACAAACAUGUUUAACCCCGCCGCAUUUUUGCGCCUGUCCCAAGUCAGGAGCCUCUGGCCUUUGUUAGUCUUGUAUUAUUUUAAUUUUAGUUUCUUG
rnacentral:lncRNA from 1 species